UACGUAGGGGGCUAGCGUUGUCCGGAUUUAUUGGGCGUAAAGAGCGUGUAGGCGGCCAGGUAGGUCUGCUGUGAAAACUCGAGGCUCAACCUCGAGACGCCGAUGGAAACCAUCUGGCUAGAGUCCGGAAGAGGAGAGUGGAAUUCCCGGUGUAGCGGUGAAAUGCGCAGAUAUCGGGAAGAACACCCGUGGCUAAGGCGGCUCUCUAGUACGGUACUGACGCUGAGACGCGAAAGCGUGGGGAGCGAACAGG
rnacentral:rRNA from 1 species